AUACUUACCUGUCAGGGAAGAUCCCAUGAUCAUGAAGAUGGUUUUCCCGGGGAGGCUUGUUCAUUGCACUCCGGAUGUGCUGACCCUUGAGAUUUCCCCAAAUGUGAGAAACUCAACUGCAUAAUUUGUGGUAGUGGGGGACUGUGUUGACACUCUCCCUUG
rnacentral:snRNA from 1 species